GACGAACGUUGGCGGCGUGCUUAAUACAUGCAAGUCAACUGAAGCAGUGGUAGCAAUAUCGCUGUGGAGGUGGCGCACGGGUGAGUAACACGUAGGUAAUCUGCCUUCAGGUCUGGCAUAACUCCGGGAAACCGGGGCUAAUAGCAGAUGAUGCAGCGGCUCGACAUCGAGACAGUUGUUAAAGCUAUGGCGCCUGAAGAUGAGCCUGCGUCUGAUUAGCUAGUUGGCGGGGUAACGGCCCACCAAGGCAACGAUCAGUAGCUGGUCUGAGAGGAUGAUCAGCCACACUGGAACUGAGACACGGUCCAGACUCCUACGGGAGGCAGCAGUAAGGAAUAUUGCCCAAUGGGAGAAAUCCUGAAGCAGCAACGCCGCGUGAGGGACGAAGGGCUUUGGCUUGUAAACCUCUGUAGUGAGAGAAAAAAAUCCCAAUCUUUGGGACAUGAUGGUAUCUCAAAAGUAAGCCCCGGCUAACUACGUG
rnacentral:rRNA from 1 species